rnacentral:rRNA from 1 species
UACGAAGGGGGCUAGCGUUGCUCGGAAUUACUGGGCGUAAAGCGCACGUAGGCGGCUUGUUAAGUCGGAGGUGAAAUCCUGGAGCUCAACUCCAGAACUGCCUUCGAUACUGGCGAGCUUGAGUUCGGGAGAGGUGAGUGGAACUGCGAGUGUAGAGGUGAAGUUCGUAGAUAUUCGCAAGAACACCAGUGGCGAAGGCGGCUCACUGGCCCGAUACUGACGCUGAGGUGCGAAAGCGUGGGGAGCAAACAGG